rnacentral:rRNA from 1 species
CCUACGGGGGGCUGCAGUGAGGAAUAUUGGUCAAUGGUCGGGAGACUGAACCAGCCAAGCCGCGUGAGGGAUGAAGGUACAGAGUAUCGUAAACCUCUUUUGUCAGGGAACAAAGGCGGGGACGUGUCCCCGGAUGAGUGUACCUGAAGAAAAAGCAUCGGCUAACUCCGUGCCAGCAGCCGCGGUAAUACGGAGGAUGCGAGCGUUAUCCGGAUUUAUUGGGUUUAAAGGGUGCGCAGGCGGUCUGUUAAGUCAGCGGUCAAAGCCCGGGGCUCAACCCCGGCCCGCCGUUGAAACUGGCAGUCUCGAGUUGGAGAGAAGUAUGCGGAAUGCGCGGUGUAGCGGUGAAAUGCAUAGAUAUCGCGAAGAACUCCGAUUGCGAAGGCAGCAUGCCGGCUCCACACUGACGCUGAGGCACGAAAGCGUGGGUAGCGAACAGGAUUAGAUACCCUGGUAGUC